rfam:Dictyostelium fasciculatum unplaced genomic scaffold Scf_ET2XIPL01COFD4-5, whole genome shotgun sequence.
GCUCUAAUGGUUCAAUGGAAGAAUUGAAAGUUCGGAUCUUUUAGACCCAGGUUCGAUUCCUGGUUAGAGCU